GAUGAACGCUGGCGGCGUGCCUAAUACAUGCAAGUCGAGCGAACAGACGAGGAGCUUGCUCCUCUGACGUUAGCGGCGGACGGGUGAGUAACACGUGGAUAACCUACCUAUAAGACUGGGAUAACUUCGGGAAACCGGAGCUAAUACCGGAUAAUAUAUUGAACCGCAUGGUUCAAUAGUGAAAGACGGUUUUGCUGUCACUUAUAGAUGGAUCCGCGCCGCAUUAGCUAGUUGGUAAGGUAACGGCUUGCCAAGGCAACGAUGCGUAGCCGACCUGAGAGGGUGAUCGGCCACACUGGAACUGAGACACGGUCCAGACUCCUACGGGAGGCAGCAGUAGGGAAUCUUCCGCAAUGGGCGAAAGCCUGACGGAGCAACGCCGCGUGAGUGAUGAAGGUCUUCGGAUCGUAAAACUCUGUUAUUAGGGAAGAACAAAUGUGUAAGUAACUAUGCACGUCUUGACGGUACCUAAUCAGAAAGCCACGGCUAACUACG
rnacentral:rRNA from 1 species